rnacentral:rRNA from 1 species
UGGGGAAUAUUGGACAAUGGGCGAAAGCCUGAUCCAGCCAUGCCGCGUGUGUGAAGAAGGUCUUCGGAUUGUAAAGCACUUUAAGUUGGGAGGAAGGGCAGUAAGCGAAUACCUUGCUGUUUUGACGUUACCGACAGAAUAUGCACCGGCUAACUCUGUGCCAGCAGCCGCGGUAAUACAGAGGGUGCAAGCGUUAAUCGGAAUUACUGGGCGUAAAGCGCGCGUAGGUGGUUCGUUAAGUUGAAUGUGAAAGCCCCGGGCUCAACCUGGGAACUGCAUCCAAAACUGGCGAGCUAGAGUAGGGCAGAGGGUGGUGGAAUUUCCUGUGUAGCGGUGAAAUGCGUAGAUAUAGGAAGGAACACCAGUGGCGAAGGCGACCACCUGGGCUCAUACUGACACUGAGGUGCGAAAGCGUGGGGAGCAAACAGG